GAUUUGUAAUGAGAGCAGUCCAUGUCCAAGAGACGGAGCUGUAGCACUGGAGCUUUCUACAGGAAAGCAGAAAUAAAUGAGCUGCAUUCAUUUCCUCAGGUGCUGCUAUCAGCUGGCAGGCCCUUUGCUUCCAGGGCUGGGGAGAAUCAAAACUCUGUCAGGCAUCCCACACCUCGCAGCUGGCAGCAGGAGCUGGGACAGCGCCGUUUGGAACUUGAUGCCCGGGAGAGACUCGCAGGAAUUUCACGGCUCGGCCGGGACGGGAGAGCCGGGAGCCGCGCCCGGCCGGGGCCGCGAGAGGGCGCCCGCGGACAGGGAACGGCCUCUCCGGGUGACAGAUCCACUCAUCCAUCCCAAACACACAGAUACACAUGUGCACACACACAGGGCAGCAGUGGCACAGCAGUGAUCGCAGGAGUUUUUCUCUUUUGAAAUAAGUAGGGAGACAAAAAUAAAAUAAGAAAUUUGCACUGAAUAUUUAUUUUGAUAAACAUUGUGUACUCCAAACAACUACGUGUUAUUUCAGUUGUAAGCCACAAUCUUUUGGAAACGACGUCCCAAGAGCUCUUGUCAUCAUAACCCGACAGUCAAUGCACCACCACGGUCUGUGGACAUAGAGAGCUUUCAAGUGCAAAGCAGAUUAUCAGAAAAGACACAUUGCCAACCUCCUUAACAAACUGGACAAUGCUCAACUCCAGUAAAAAUGCUUCAUAUGUCUGCAAUUUAGUUGUCUUAGUGCCAUUGUAAUAAAUUAAUAGAAAAUAUAUCUUUUUUUUUUUUCAUUGGAAAGUCUAUAAGAAAAUGUACAAACCUCUAACUCCGAAAAAGGACCAGCUGUUUCGGCGACAGGUAAAACAAGCAGUUGAACAGAGGCAAUAAAACCCAAACAUCCGAACAAACAAAGAGACAAACAAACAAAAUGCAACCAAAAAAACCCCACUCCACCAAUGGCAACUGUGUAGGCAAACAUGGAAACAUCUGCAGGAAUCAAACCUUACAGAGAGGGUCACUGCAGCUCCUGCAGGGGCUGUACAGAGGACGAGCAGUUGGGGAAUUCACUGGUCAGAGUGUGCACUCUUUGAAAAGAGUUUCUAGAACAGUCAGGGGCUGAACAGGAAUCACUUGGCACGGGGCUCUUGCUGACUGGCCAUGGCAGCAGGCUCCAUUCUGCCUCCAGAGGACACACGGAUGGCUCCAGGCCGUGCAGGUCACCAGGAGCCUUGGGCAUUUCCCUGCACGCAGCCAGGAUGCUCUGCUGUCCCUGGGGCUGCCAGCCUGCAGUGAUUCCUGUGGGUAUUCACAGCAGGAGACCCUCCCCAGAUCCAAAACAGGCCCCAUGUGCCAGGCUCAGCAUCACAGGACAAGCUGAUUAAGGUUUCUCUCUUAAGAAGGUGAGAUCUUUUAAGAAAGGAAAAGAAAAAGGUUUUUUUCCUAGAGCCAAGUCAUAUGCUUUCACCCUGAGAAUUCCCAAAACAGCAAAAUCAGAAGCUACAUUUCAGCACAAAGGUAACGUGCUCCUAGAAGCUGAACAAAGCAGUUUGGGGACAGACCCACCUGGUGGGAUGCUCCAGGGUGUUUACACUCUUAGAGGGAGCAGGAGAGGGGAAAUGGCCAUGGGCAGUGGAGCACUGCAGAGGGCAACCCCAGCACUGGGGCUUGUAGAAAGCCAAAUCCCACUCCAGACACAUCCCACUUUCCUGCCCACCAUCUGCUAUGUGCUCAUGAAGGAAAUAUUCCUGCUUUGGUCCAUCUCCUGGAAGCAAAUGUGUUCCACCAAAACUGCUGCCACCAACAGCACUGGCUCAGGGCAGGGAAAAGGUUUAGACAACCCAAACUGACAGACCAUGGGGAAUUCCUGUUAGUCUCUUCCCUUGGCUUCAUGGAUCUGGCACUGUUGUGGCCAUCACAGGACAUCAGAUAAAUGUUUUGGAUGAUCAUGGUUGAAACACCAGUGAGACUGACUCUUUCAUGGAAUAAUUUGUGAAAUCCCCAAACUAUCAUAAGAAUUUUGGAGAAUAAACAACCCACCUUAUUUGCCUUUUACAAAUGUUGCCCAUUCACUCUGCAAACAGCACAAAUGCCUAAGGAACAUUCAUUACCAGACUCUUGUUGGGAAGCUGGGAGGGAAUGCUUGGCUCUUUUUCUUUUUCCUUUUUUUUCUUUUUUUAAAUUUUUUCUUUAUAAUACAAUACACAUGACAUUCAGUGAAUUCAAAACAAUUUUGUAGCAAGUCUGAAAAGAACAUUUCCAGUUUCAAAACCCAGGAGAGGCUUGAGUGGAAUGCAACCUACAGUAUAUCUAAAUUUUGUUCAUGCUUGCUUUGACAUUCAGAGCAACUUAUCUAAACCAGUAUCUGCACAGCCUUUGGAAUGACAAACAAAAUCCUUGCUUUUUAGUCUAACUUCAAGGUAACAUUUUUGAUACUGUGGGGAAAAAGAAAAACCUAAUUAAUAAACAAAGUAGCCAUCAGCAAUUGGAAUAAUUUAUGUGGCAGUGGGGACAGGCAGAGAUAAAGUGGGGAAAUAAACCAAAGUCUUGCUGGCAAGACUGACAUUUUUUAAAAGCUUGUCAUGAUGUCUUUCACAUUUUCCCCCUGCCCUCAGAUUUCUUACAACAGCUACAGCCUCCAGAAACGCCUGUGUGGUAUUUUGGGGCAACUGACAGAAAUAUCACUGAACACUAGAAAUGCUUUCAGUGUAUUACAAGGUAAUGUUAACAUCCCAUCUUCAAGAGAUGCCCCUGUAAAGUCCUGAUCCACUCUGAUCUGCCAUCAUUACCCAGGUCUUUGAUUGAAGCAGGGGGAAAGGAGGUACAAGACAUCCAACUAGUGCAUUGGGAUUCCCACUUUAAUUCUUCAGCCUCCUGGAAAGACCUCAUCCAGCUCUCAUGUAACUCUUACAGGAGGACCAAGACAUAAUAUCUUUAGCCUGAAGACAGGAUCAGAAAGCAACACACAGCAGAGCAGUCUGAUCCUGUUUCCCCUGAUGUCCUGGGAAAGGUGAGGGCAGCUCACCCUAUUUGAUGCUGAAUAAGGUAAGUCCCAGUAUUCCUAGUCAAAAAUUGGAAGCCUUGAACUGGGAUUGUAUUAGCUGGCAACCAUAAACUGAUUCUGCAUGUCAUUAUACAGAGGGAAAGGCUGAAUGGGAAAGGCUGAGAAAAUACAUGUGCUAAUUGACAUUGCUCUCCUUCUAGCCUGCAGCUGCUUGUUGGAGGAAAAUUUCCUGUUUGCACAGCCACUAUUAAAACUCCGUGAUCCAUAGGAAAAAUGUGGUUUUCUGAGGAAGCAGGAAUAGGUGGUUCCAUCAGUCUCUGCUGGCAUGUUUUGUCCACUCCUUCUGUCAUUUCUUCCCCAACUAUGUGCCGCGGGCUGCAUGUGCAACACACACCCCAAAGAGCUUGACCAAACCUCACAGAAGCUUUAGGGGAAAUGCUUACUGUUCAGUUACACUUCCCAGCACCCAGGAAAUCACUCAAAUCCACUCUUUCUCCACCAGAUUAUCAACCAGUCUUUGAACUGGCAUUCCAGUCUGCGUGAGCAGCUAGUUACGCUACAGAAAAGGAAAAGUCAACUUAGAAGAUGGUGGAAGCAACAAUCCUUGACGGUUUUCAGACCAAGAGCUCCCCUUCCAGAGGCAGCACGAACACCAGUGUGUCCCAGGAGCGCUGGCAGAAGCAGCUCCUGCAGAAACAGCCCAGGCCUGGCUCGGUGCCGCCAGGGCCGGCCUCAGCGCCCGAGCCAGCCCGGCCUGGCGGCCCCAGCACUCGCUGCUGGCCACAGCAGGAGGCUCUGCUCUCACACCUGGCCCCUCUAGCUACUUACAGUGAGAUCUCUUUUUGAACAGCAACAACAACAACAAAAUGCUACGCCGGCGGCGCGGGCGGGCGAGGCCUGCGCAGAGCGGAAUUGGCAGUGCUUGGUAGAUUUUGGCUGAGUCCUCGUUCGUGACCAGCUUCACCCAGACGGGGCGGAAGCUGCCUUUGAAGCCGACAAAAGCCAUUUUUUCUGCAAAUCAGAACAAAUGUACUUAGAGUGUGCCAGGACUGCACCAGAAACCCUCCUGUGUGCAUGGCUACACCUCAUGGCUGGAGGGCUGCAGGUGCACAAGAGCCAUGUAUGUAACACACACACACACACAGAUGGAAUCAUGCCAAAAGCUGGUAGAGCUGAUUGCAGCAAUGUGCAUGUGGAGCUGUAUUCUAAUGCCAUAUGUGAUGCUCUGAAAUCAACAUGCUUUGUGCCAUCAAGUCAGAAUGUUUCAAGAGAAAGCCAGCUAAAAACAAGUUCAGACAAAUAAAAAAUCCUGGUUUGGGGCAUUUAGUGGGUAAAAAGGCUCACUAUUUCUAUUAUUAAAAGGUCUUUUAAUCUAAACUUAAUCUGGAAAAUCAAAUCCCCUGAAUUAUUUAUUUCUAAGAAAAAUGGCCAGUGUGUUUUUUCCUUUUUGCAGUUUAAAUAGAGCAUGUUACCCAAAGCUGCAGUGAACACAACCUUUCUGAAUAAAUAAAUUACUGGUUUCAGGAUGUUUGAGCACAUGCUGAUAGAAACAAGCAAGGCAAAGUUCAGAAGCAGAAAAAGUGUCCCUUUACUGGAGUAAUGGGAGGUUAGAAAUGA